rnacentral:rRNA from 1 species
ACGAGGGGGGCGAGCGUUGUUCGGAAUUAUUGGGCGUAAAGGGUGCGUAGGCGGUUCGGUAAGUCUUGUGUGAAAUCUUCGGGCUCAACUCGAAGUCUGCACGAGAAACUGCCGGGCUUGAGUGUGGGAGAGGUGAGUGGAAUUCCGCGUGUAGCAGUGAAAUGCGUAGAGAUGCGGAGGAACACCGAUGGCGAAGGCAGCCCCCUGGGCUGACACUGACGCUGAGGCACGAAAGCGUGGGGAGCAAACAGGA